CCCUCCUCCCCCGGCACGGCCCGGGCCCCGCGGGCGGAGGCGGCGCUGCCGGCGGCGCCUCCGGGCGGGCGGGCGGGCGGCGAGCGGGAGGGGGGCGCGCGGGGGCGACGGGCGGGGCGGCGCGGGCCGGGGGCGCGGAGCAGGGCUCGGCCGCUGGCGGUGGCCCCGCGGGAGGGGGCGCGGAGGGGGGGCGCGGGGACAAAGCCCGAGGCUGCCGCCGCCGCCGCCAACUCCGCGCUGGCAGAUGGGGGGGGGGGGGGGGCGCGAAGAGAAGGAGGCCGCGGCAGCAACUGGGUUUGGCCCAGCUCGGCUCCCGUGGACUAGGGGCUGCACAGGCGCCGCUCCCCCAUUGGCCACGAAAGCAAAAGCCUCGCCGUCAUUGGCCGUCCUCCUUCGCCGUUCCCGCCCACCGUUUUGACAAGCCCGGAAUGGAGCGGCACCGCCUUGUGGGGGAGGGAGAGGGUGGGAGAGAGAGAGGCGGGGCUCGGAGGGAGAGGCCCCUUCGGAUUGGCUGGCUGUGUUACCGUGGCGAUCGCUUCUGGCCCCGCUGAUUGGCGGAGCCGUGUCUCCGUGGUGGCAGGGAAGAUUACGGGCUCAGCUUGGUGAAUGGACUGCUGCCAUGGAGACAUCGAGCAUAGCUUAAAAUAGCUAGUAAGGCAGAAGUGGAAAGGGGAGUAUGGCCAGCACGACAGGAGGGAAGGGAAAAACAGUUUUACUCACUGACGUCUGAGAUGCAAGCAGGAGAGAGGCAAGCCACAACAGGAGAGAUGAGGGGCUGCAGCCAUUAAGGACUCUCAGUCCAGAGCCCAGUGAAGCUGGAGGACAUCCUCCUCAGUUCCUGCCAAAGCUUGUCAUCUGUAGUACUACAGGAGGAAUUUCUGCUGUUUCCACUGGCAAGGCCAACAGUUUGUGGAUACGGCCAACUACACCAGAUUGUCGCAAAUACAACUUUGUGUAUCCUGCCGACUACACCAGAUUGUCGGGAAUUUGAUUUGUUACACGGCUUUGGGCUGGUGACAUGCUCCCUCAGUACCACGUACCUUAAAUGAAAGAGGCAGAAAGCUGAAAAGCAGGCGGCUCUUCAGUUAAAUAGAAGAUGGUGGUGCAGGGUUUCCUCGUGCUCAGGACACGGAGGUAUGGCAGAGUUCUAGCCACAGGCUGAGAAACUGGGCUCAGCUAUGAAGCAUGGGUUAAGUGUGGGACAUCCUCCUGCUUUGCCUUCUAAGCAGUCUUUGUACGGGAAGGAGUAACAGGAGCACUUACCUGUUCAGAGCUAUUUCAGUCAUUUUUCCCUGAGGUGCAGGGGAGGGUUGGCCCAGUGCAUGCCCUUGAAGCACAGCCCACUGACACACAUGUAUGCCUGCUCGCAUUUUGUUCCUUUUCAGGAAGAAAAGCAUGAAGGCAGAUUUUGGCAAGAGUGACUUGCUUGUUUGUGUGCCCUUAGCAUGCAGGGUUUGCCUUGAGUAACAUCCUGUGCCCAGCUUGGGUGGCACAUGUCUUCAGCUGGCCCAGCUUUCAAGGUCUGUUGCUUUCUUGGAUUUUGCUCUCGUUGUCCUCUUGCACAUGGUUUACUUUACCUUCUUUCCUAUCAUGCUUUUCACUUUGUCCGCUUCCUGUCUCCUCCCUUCUCAGGAAGCUGUUCACCACCACUGUUGUUUGGCAUUUUUCUCUUUACAAACUGUCAUUCUCCAUCUGAGGAACCUGCUGUUCCUAGCAAUCCUUCCUUCUACUGUCCACCCAGACUUGAUAGUCUUUAGAAAACAAAUAUCUCUGCUUCCUGUAUAACUUAGUAGCAUCUAAGAGACUAUCAGCAGGUAAUUAUCCACCUUCUAAAUACCUCACUGUACACCAGAGAAAAAAGAAGGCCAUGCCCUCUCCAGGAGAUACUUCACAAUCAUCCAGCAGCCUUCUGUCAAUUUAGACUCCUCUUCAGAAAACUAGUUUAUUAUGCACAGUUGCAAAGCAAACUUUGAUAAGAGCUAAAAGCACUUUGAGAAGAAGAAUAUGACACGUUCCUAGUCAGUGUUGCACUAGCACUACUGUAAACUGCCCUGUGGUUAUUAACCAGAGCAUUUACAUUUUAAGUCUUCACUGUAUUUGAAUAAUCAACAUUGGCAGAAGCGGUGCUGAUACUUUUCUACUCAUGGUAAAAUGCUUCUUUCUGUAACAGCAGCAUCUGUAACUGUGAUCUAGGCUAUAUAGUCACUCUGAAAAUGAAUUCUGACUAUCAAAUAGAACUGGGAACACAAGCUAAGGCUUGGUGAAGAAAAAUUUGUUACAUAAAUAGUACAAUGAUAAGAACAAAUCAAAACCUGUAUUCUGUCAAGCAUGGUAGGCAUAGGAGUUCUUCUCAUGUGUUUCCCUUCCAACCUACUGGUUUCAACUGCUUGGAUCUUUCAGAACUUUUCAGAUUUUUCAUUUGUUUGAAAAACGCAGUUUUAUUUCUAGAAAGUCUGAUGGGGAGAGAGAAGUCCUUUUGAUCAGACUGCAUUUACAAUAGUGUCAGCACUUCAGAAAAUAAAAUGGAUAGCUCAAAGACCUGUACGGAUUUGGGAGAAAGUCCUUGAUAAAUCGGAGGUGAAAAAAAAAACCACAACAAAGAUCUGGCAAGUCAAACUCUAUUUUUAGGGGGUAACAGGCUUCAGAAUAUGAGAAUGUAGAACCCUGUGAUCAGAAUUGCUUUUAGUGAGAAAUCCUUUCUUCUGUCUCUGUCCCCUUCAAAGUAAAAGAUAAUGUUCUUGGUGGAAGCAUUUAAAAAGGCAGACUUCAAUAUACUGCAUAUGAGUCAUAUAUAAUUCCUUAACAGUUACUAAAUAGUAACUUCUGGAUAUUGGGUCUGAAAUAGUCGUCUUGGAAGUUGUGCUGUGGUGUUAACCAGGUAUUCCAUUUUAUUUUCUGCUUCAUUUUACUGCCCUUGGGAGCAUACGCUGACUCAGUUAGCUAGGGUAAGUGUGGAGAAAACUGAAAAAUAAUUUUCGAGAAUACAGGGAUAAUGGCUUUCAGCUACUUAGCAGUGGCCUGUCAUACAUCUAAAGUUGCCAUUUUCAUGUAUUUCUUCAAGCUUUUAUUCUACGUUUAUUAAUAAUUUGUAGGCCCUUACAUCUAUUCUCCAGUUUCUUGAUGAGAUCCUCAUGUUUAUAAAUGUAAAAUCACUUGGUUUUUAGUGUGUACUUCAAAAUUAAAUACACUUAUCUCGAAGCCCUCAGCACUGGUGUUUCCUCUGGAAAAAUAGUACUUUCUUUCUGGAUUAAAUUGGGAUAGCAAGCAUCUGUCGAGUCUCUGCACAGAAUUUUCAUUGUUUUGUAUUGGGGAGAGUUUAGAACUAGUGUGUGCUUUGAAAAUUUGGACUGUUUCAUUACUUUGAGAACUGGAUUAUUCAGGUAUGAUCUGAUUAUUCAGACAGGAACUUGCUAUCUUCUUCCCGUUACAGAGUAUUCUCUACGCAGCAGAUCUGAAUUGGUGAAGCCAAUUUAGCAAGUAAAGGAAUAUGGUUGCACUUUUCUUUUUGAUUUGUCAUACCCUUGCAAGAAUCACUAAAAUUUAUUUCUUAGAGCUGGUGAGUUCACUGCUGCUAGUAACGUUUUGACUUAUUUUCUUGGAGGGAGCUGUCCAGAAAAGCUGCUGUAGUAAAUCUCCUGACAUCAUCACCUUGUGAACAUAGCUUUUUCAUUCUCUUGAACUAGCUUAGGUGGGAAGACAACAGCAGGUGACACCAACGGCUGAGUAGGUGGCAUGCUGCUGGCAAGGACAGCUCACCUUAAGAGUGGUACACAUACUUCGAGAUUCUAGAUUGAUGCAAGAGCUGUCAGAAACCCAGCAUGUUUACAAGCUUUUGUGCAGUAGCUUGGAGGUUGUUACUGUAAGCUGAGAAAUCUGAUUGGUUUCUGAAUUCAGGCAUAGUGAUGUAUUACAGGAAAAUUGCUCUGUCUAGGGAAGAUUAAUAGUUGAGCUGCUUCCUUUUGUAUGGUGUUGCACAAAUUCUCAACAUAGAAGUUGGGGAUCAGCAUAGAUUUUUUCUUUUUUUUUUUUUCUUUCACGUGUAACAAUUGUUACAGUCUUGUGAUGUUGUCGCCUAUGGAUGAAACCUUGGAAUACUGCUUUAGCAAUAAAAAUAGCAGUACCAAGUCUUUAUGGUGUCUCGUUGUCUUCACUUCAAUGUUAUUAUUCAUUCCAGAAAGUCAAAACACUGUUGUUAAAAUCCUUUCAGUGUCUUUUUUAAGUGUCAGUGUUUGAUGGAAACUGUGUUCACCACAAUGCGAUAGAAUUGGGUAAUCUCACUCCACAAUUUCUGUGUUUUCCACAGUAGAGCUUUUUGGGCUUGGUUCUGCAUUUGCAGGUUUCUUUAAAUUUUUUUUUUCUUCGCCAAUCUUACUGCUCUUGGACUACACUAAUUCAAUGUUUCCCUCUUGACAUAUUAAGAAAUAUGUAAAAUAUAGAGAGCCUUCCUACUAGGAGCAACAGCCAGAUCUCAUUCCAGCCCCUGCAAGUUAGCAGACAAAUGAAAAGUUUUUUUCCUGUGAAGAAUCUAGCUACUUCUAGCCACUCACCCAUGUCUCUAAGCUACUAAAGAAGAAAGCUAUGCUAAAACAAGUUAAAACAAAAAAAUCGUCAGAUUACGAUAGGAAAAUCAACUAAAUGUCAGAGAACUAAGGGAAAAUAUUAUUUGUGCAGUGGGCCACCUAUUACAUUGCAAAUACAGUCUAUAUCUAAGUUAUCGCAGGAACAAGUCAAACGAGAUUCCUGAGUCUCUUUUGUGAAUUUAUGCAUAAUUACAAAAAAAUUAUGCAGCCUUUAAUGUCACACAGAAAAAAACCUUCAACCCUUGCAGCAAAGAAUUUAAUUUAAAAGGUUUUAACUGCUUGCUAUGUUAAAGUAAAUAGCAAAGGAACAGAGUGGAAAUGAGAAGGGUAAGAUGGUGAUAUUGAAGUUUGUUUGAAUGAAAAUUUAGGAUUUUGAUUAAUCGAGCAGUUGUUGGAGCCAAGUUUACCAUUUUUGUGACUGUCAAACAAAUUAUGGUCAUUCAUCUGGCCUAUUAAAAACUGGGCUAUGCUUAAUCUGGAUUCCAGUUUCCAGUGCUAGCAAACGACAUUAUGCUCCUCAUUACGAGUUUCAGAAAACGAUAGGAAUUCUGAGGGCUGUGUCCAGUCCCUGUACACAUUGCUAAUAACCUAGGGAGCCAGCUAUCCAGCUACAAUAUUAAUAUUUUUCAGAGCUUUGCUACUGUUUUCCACAACAUAUUGUUUACUGUCUUAAUUCUAGCUUUUUCUUCUGUCUUCUGUUGCAGCUUCUUAUAUUGUACCCUGAGGUCUGUUGCCUUUACCCCUACAGAGAUUACAGGAAAAAUAAAUGAGGGGUAAGAAAAAGAUGUUAAGAAUGGAAAAAACAACCACCAAAAAAGGUGUUAGUAAACCCAAGGGGAAAAAAAUAUCACAGUACCUUGUAUUUUACUGGGUAGAUUAGGAUUGUCUUGGAUAUUAGGAAAAGGUUCUUUGUCGAGAGGGUGGUCAGUCCCUGGAACAGGUUCCCCAGGGAAGUGGUCCCAGCACCAAGUCUGUCAGAGUUCAAGGAGCAUCUGGAUGAUGCUCUUAGUCAUGGUUUAAUUUUAGGUAGUCCUGGGAGGAGCAGGGAGUGGGACUCAGUGAUAUUUUGGGUCUCUUCCAACUCAAGAUACUCUGUGAUUCUAUCUUUGACAGAGAAAGAACACUCCAACUAGGGGUAGCAGUACAGAGGAUUGAAUUACUGAACCUUUUUAAGUCCCUUCAGGCUUUAUUCUGUGCUUCAGUUAAAUCUAGCACACCAGUCACAGGCGAUCAAUGACAAACACUGGACAGCACACCUCAUCAAUGUAAAUAUCUGAAAUGUAGGACACCAUCUGCAGGUGAUCUGUUCAGAUGUUGGAUCUAGUAGUUUAACUAAACCCAUUUCCUGGUGUUCUGAAGCAAGUUCUCUCUACUUAAUCAGUACUUUCUCAAAUUCCAACUGCUCUAAAUUUGCUUUCUGUUUAGGCAUGUUGCAUGUGGAGGGUUCUCUAUAAAAAUCAAAAUAAAUUAUAUACAUUAUCACCCAUGUGAUUCCCAUAAUAAGUUGUUCCCUUGUUUCAUGUGUCCAUGCUGUGGCCCCAUGGAAUUAUUCAGACUUCCAUCCAGCAGUGCAGUUGGAGUACUUUAUUCUGACGUCUCUUAUUAGCUAGCUUAAAACAAGUGAACAAAUUAAAUGUAAAGUGUUCUUUAUUAAAUAACUCAAAAGGUAAAGCAAAUUGUGCGAUUAAGACAGACAACAUGAUGGUUCCAAAAGAUUUUUACAGCAGGAAACAAAUUGCAGGAAACAAGCAUUUCAGUCUAGCAGCCAAAUUGUCCUCAUUUUUACGGAGUUAAUUUCGGUCCUCAAAUUGUGACUUGUUUUUUAAAAGA